GCUGCUGGACGUCGAGAGGAGCAGAUAGGCAGAGGAACACACGGGUGGCUGGAUGUCGAGAGGAAUACAGUAACAGGCACCUGCAUGCCGGCAGGCCACCGAUUUGCAGAACAACAACGUGGAGUUUGGCUGCGGCAGUGAGAGGACAGCCCAGGCUGCUCAGCUGCCGGGAUCCAGGAGAAACCUUCCCACUCCAUCCCCUUUUGGCUUCCGCCAUGUGAUAUCUCCACUCAAUACAACCUUGUGCUCAUUCUCCAAGCCCAUGAUGUGAUCUGCUUCUGGUACACCAAGGCAAGAACCCUGGGAUGCACAAAGCCCUCUGUCCUUGUGAUAAGGCAGGGGUCUAAUUGAGCUAACACGAGCUGUGUAUACCUAGCUAAACUAAAAGAGUACCCUGUAACACAUUCCCCCUGGGGCUUCCGGAGCUGUUAACAUUCACCCCUAGACACUGCCCUGGGGUUGGAGCCCCACAGCCUGCCCGCCUGUAUGCUGCCCUAGAGGUCUGAGCCUCGGGGCACUGAAAAAGCGAGCCACUCCGCUGCCCCAUAGCAAGACCCGCCAUGGGGAUAAAGGAAUUUUUCCUGUUUCAACUGGGGACUUCGCCUGAGAUCCUGGAAGAUGGCACCACUCUUGAGAAGC
rnacentral:lncRNA from 10 species